CAAUCAGCGCCCGUGUUUUUAAAAGGCUAUUUAAGAUAUAUAUAUAUAUAUAUAUAUAUAUAUAUAUAUAUAUAUAUAUAUAUAUAUAUCUUAAAUAGCCUUUUAAAAACACGGGCGCUGAUUG